rnacentral:lncRNA from 9 species
UUUUUUUUUUUUUUUUUUUUUUUGUCUUUUAAGGGCUGCACUUGCAGCAUAUGUAAGUUCCCAGGCUAGGGAUCGAAUUGGAGCUGUAGCUGCCGGCUUGUGCCACAGCCACAGAAACACCAGAUCCGAGCUACAUUUGCAACCUACACCACAGCUCAUGGCUCAGAUCUGAGCCACAUCCACGAUCUACGCCACAGCUUGUGGCAACACUGGAUCCUUAACCCACUGAGUGAGGCCAGGGAUCAAACCCACGUUCUCAUGGAUACUAAUUGGGUUUGUAACCCACUGAACCACAGUGGGAACUUCCUUUAAUGAUUAUUCUUAAUGCUUUCUGUGAGUUAGGAGAUGGUAAAGUAAAGAUGAACUGGAGGCUUCUUUCUUGUAGAGACUCAUAGUACAUAUACUGGGGUGGUGAAGAUGGCAUUAAACACCCAUAUUGUAUGUGACUGGUGCUAUAGUCAAAGUGAGCUCCAAGUAUUGAUGGAACACUCAGGGCUCAAUUGAUUCUGAUUGGGAGAGUCAGGAAAUACAUUCCUAGAAAGUGACAUUUGAGUGGGGUCUUGAGGAUGAGGUUGGGGGGGGGGCAUUCCAAACUAGGCUGCGUGUUUGGGGAUUGGCUUGGCUGGGGUAAGUGGUACUGAGUUCCCUGUAGAAGAAGCAGAAGAUGGUAUGGUGAGCUCUAGACCACAAGGCCAGUCUAGAGAGCUAGUGGGGAAUCCCAUGUUCAAGGGACAUUAUGUAAGAUAAACCUUAAGGGGAAUAGACCCUGGGAUGUGGGGUUUGGAAAUGGUAAGAGAUCAGGCUGGGAGGUAAAUUCAUGGAGAACCUUAUGUGACAUGCCAAUUUGUUUUUCCUCUCUCAUGCAAUGAGGAAAACUGGUAGCCUUUUUUUUUUUUUUUUAGUGGAAUAGAUAUAGAUCCAUUUGAUUGAUUGUGGAGGAUAAUUUGGAGAAGAGAAUUUGAGGAAAAUAGUUCAGCAGCUAUUUGAGUAAUCUAGAUGAAAGAUAAUGAAUGUUUGAACAUGGGCUGUGAUGAAAGAGAGACGCCAGGGUUCCUGUUUUCUCAGGGCUUGUGCAUAUUUUGUGGGGGCACGAAAGAAUUGGGCUCCAAUCAAGAGCGGUAUUUUAAAUGUGCACCGUGCUUUCAAAGAACAGCUGCAACAUCAAGUCCAAUAUCUACUAAGAUACAUUCUGGGGUAGGCGUUUUUGACCAAGUGUUGGGUAUGAUUGAUCCUGUGUUGAUUUUGUCUUCCCAGCAGACUUAAGAGGGAGAUGGGGCUUCUAUGAUUGCCAUUCUGCAGAGGAAGGACCAGCUUGAGAGUCGAAGGGAUACUCAAGUCCAUGCUGCCAGGGAGGGACAGAAUCUGGACUUGAGCUUUACUUCCUCUUCUCUGGUAGCUGCUCUUUCCAGGAGACUGGGAUUAACUCCACAUGUGUCGGAACAUCAAAUGCAUGAUGAAUAGGGAGAGCCUACUGAAUGAUUUCAGAAGCAGGAGAAAGACACACUGUCAAGAGCCAUCAGGGAUGUGGUUUUGAAGGAAGCUGGCCUUGGCCUGAGUCUUGAAAGCUGCAGGGUGAGGUUGGACUCCAAGAAGCAGAGGAGCUAGGCUGCUGUGUGCCCAGUGGUACCAGUGGUAAGGAAGCAUAGGUAUUAAUUACCCCCUGUCAUUUCUGGGGCAACAUAACUCUGAUUUUAAUUAAUUAGUGAAAUAUUUAUUUUGCCCUUGCUCUAUUCCAGGAACUAUCUGGGGUCAAGAGACGCUGACAUUCAUGAGGCCAGAAUCUAGCUUUGAGAAAGAGAUCAUCUGUUAGAGAUGAUAGGGCUGUGGGCCCAGAAACCACAGGACCUGGGUCUGAAUUCUGAAACCAAUGUUUAGUAGGGUAGAUUUUUUUUUCUUUUUAUAGCCCCACCUGCAGCAUAUGGAAGCCCUUGGACCAGGGAAGGGGUCAAAUCGGAGCUGCAGCUGUGACCUACACCACUGCUAAUGGCCAUGCUGGAUAUUUAACCCACUAAGCAAGGCCAGGGAUUGAACCCACAUCCUUACAGAGACAACAUCAGGUCCUUUAUCCACUGAGCCACAACAGGAACUCCAUAGCUGGGUAGCUUCUAAAGUGUCCCUGAAUCUCUCUGAUCCUCAGCUUCUCCAUCUGUACAGCUCAGUUAGUGGUUUGCAAAUCACGCAGUUGUUACAAAGAGCAGAGUUAAUGUGUUAAUAUGCUUUGUACGGUUCAAAGCACAGAACAUCUACGAAAGCCCGAGCCAUUAUUAUUAUUGUUAUUGUCUGGGAUUUCUCAGUCUUGUAAGAGAGUGUGGAGAGGAAUGACUAAGUGUGAGCCAACUUCCAGAAAUCAGCUGAUGGACAAACAAAAGUCUCGAUGGCCCGGGGAGUUCUGCUGAGAGACCUGGAAGCACAGUGCUGAUGCCGGCAGGGAUCCUAGCAGUCAUCGCACUCCACUCACCGUCCACGUUACAGGAGGGAAAGCAGCUACUGCCUUGAAUCCCGCCAGAUGCUCCGAAAGCCUUGGAAGGAAUGGAUGGCCUGUCCCAGAAAUCCACAGGACACUGUGAGCAGGAAAACAAGACCAACCCCUCAGGAAGUUGUCAGACCAAAUUCUUACCUAUCACUUUAGUCAUCCAUUCAUCCAUGUGUCCAACCUGUUUGUGCUCCAAGCCAGGCAUUAGACGGGAUGCUAGUUACACAGACACAGGGAUUUCUUCCUGCACCUUAAACAGGCAACAACACCUCCUGAAGGCCUCCUAUGUCCCCAGCGCUGUGGCAGUAGGGAAACUGAGUCAGAAACUAAGGUGGAGCCCGUACUCUGUAGCAGGUGCCUGUUCAUGGGGAAAAAGAAUCCAGGCAUCACUGAAACUGCUUCGAGUACCAGUAAGUUUGCUUUCGGCCUUAGCAUGGACCAACCUUUGGUGUUGCCUACAACGGGAAGAAUGAAUUGGCUGCAUCCAGAGCACCUGCUCAUGUGUGAAAAUGAAGAACCGCGGUGCAACUCCAGGUGUCACACCUGUGGCGUGUGGGCCAGGGGUCAAAUUGGAGCUGCAUCUGCAGGCCUAUACCACAGCCAUGGCAACACCAGAUCCAAGCCUCAUCUGUGACCUGUGCCACAGCUUGCAGCAAUGUGGGAUCCUGACCCCACUGCGGGAGGCCAGGGAUCAAACCUGCAUCUUCACAGAGACCGUGCUGGGUCCUCAAACCCCUGAACCACAAAGGGAACAUUCCUUUUCCACACUGAAGUUUGAAAACCACUGGCAUGAAAUCUGUGCAAAAGCCCAGACUAGAAGUCAUAAUGGCAGAUAAUGAAGAAUUAUGAGGCCCUGUGGAGGGCUGAGCAGGAAGAAGCCUGGGACCUGGGAUCCCUGUAAACACUCCCUGUUGGAUUAUUGCAUGAGGGAAAAAUACAUCUUACUUUGAUAGGCUAAUACGAUGUCAGAGGUCUCCUACAUGCUAGCGCUGCACUAACUAGUAUAGCAUCCCAUCCUGCGUGCAGGAUUUGUGUCUACCUUCACAUAUUUCAUCUCCUUUACUCUUUGCUCUUGUGAAGGAGGCAAGGCCAGGCAAUCUACUUGUUCCCGUUUUAUAAAGGAAGACUCUGGGGGGAAUUGUCAUUCUCCCUGAUCAGGAAGGCAAGCACCACGCCGGGAGCCCUGCAUUCUGCCUUAGAAAAAGCAAACAGACAACAAAUCUAAUAGGAGGUUGGAGAGUGGAUUAGAGAGGAGGGAAGCAAGAUUAUGGGAGACGAGUAAGGAGACAACGCUAAUAAGGAUGGCAAGAGAUGAGAUUCUGAAUAAGCCAAAGAGAGGAAGAUGUUGAGAAGCAGAUGGAAGUCACAGAGACUGCGACUCUGCAUCACUGGGACCUACUCGUUAGGGUCUCCCCCUUUUGUCAUAUUGGGAAAUUUAUUUCUUCUCAAAUGGGCACAGUAUUUUAGAACUAAAGUGAAUAGAACAAUAUAAAUUUCUGGUUCUUGUUUUUUUUUUUUUUUGGUUUAUAGAGCCGCAGGUGUAGCAUAUGGAAGUUUCCAAGCUAGGGGUGGAAACGGAGCUGUAACUGCUGGCCACAGCCACAGCCACAUGUGGGAUCUGAGCCUCAUCUGUGAUCUACACCACAGCUCACAGCAGCGCCAGACCUUUAACCCCCAGAGUGAGGCCAGGGAUCAAACCCACAUCCUCAGGGAUACGAGUUGUGCUCAUAACCCACUAACCCACAAUGGGAACUCCCAAUGGGACUAGUUUUGAGUGGGGUUUGUGGUUAGGGGAACAAAGGGUGAGGCAAGGGAUCCUUGGUUGGUAUAGGAAAAAUACAGUCACAGCUAUUGUUAUUUUUGAAGAAUACGUUAUGCCCGGGUUACCUUCGAGGCUAUUUCAAGGCUCAACAUGUGAGGAAAAUAAAUGCUUUGGGGUUUUCUAAUCUUGACUUUCAGGUUUCAGGUACAACUGGCUACAUGACUCUCAAAUUCUUUUUUUGUAGCUCAGGCUUCCUCUUAAAGCUUACACCCCUCUAUUUAUUAGCUAAAACUUAAGGGUUUUAUUCAAUUUCUCUGUUUCUCAGUUUAAUAUCUCACCAGUCCCUAUAGAAUUUUACCUCUUAAACAUCUUUUAAAUAUGUCUCUUCACUUUAAUUAAGAAAUAGAUUCUGGCUAAUAGUCCUUGAUACAGUUUCUAUCCAAUGUAUCACAAGAAAUUCUAUGAAAAACACUUUAAAAAAAAAAAAAAAAGACACAAGGUCAAUAGCAUCAAAAUUUAAACCUGUUAAAAUUUACCAGACUCCAAAUCACUGUUAACCAGAAAUUAAAACAAUAGAAAAAAUAAAACUUUCUGAGUUCCCAGCAGGUUAAGGAGCUGCCAUUAUCAUUGUAGCUGCUCAAGUCACUGUUGUAGUGUGGGUUUGAUCCCUGGCCCAGGAACCUCUCUAUGUCAUGGACACAGCCAAAAAAAAAAAAAAAAAAAAAAA